CACGUAGGCACCAAGCGUUGUCCGGAUUUAUUGGGCGUAAAGAGCGCGCAGGCGGUAUGACAAGUCAGAUGUGAAAGAGGCCGGCUUAACCGGCAAGGGUCAUUUGAAACUGUCAGACUAGAGUGCAGCAGAGGAUAGUGGAAUUCCCGGUGUAGUGGUGAAAUGCGUAGAUAUCGGGGAGGAACACCAGUGGCGGAAGGCGACUAUCUGGGCUGCAACUGACGCUGGAGGCGCGAAGGCUAGGGUAGCAAACAGG
rnacentral:rRNA from 1 species